rnacentral:rRNA from 1 species
ACAUGUCCUGAAGCCUGGAGAGAUCCGGGUGUGCCCGAAAGGGAACGGGAACACAGGUGCUGCAUGGCUGUCGUCAGCUCGUGUCGUGAGAUGUUGGGUUAAGUCCCGCAACGAGCGCAACCUUGUCAUUAGUUGCUACAUUUGGUUGGGCACUCUAAUGAGACUGCCGGUGACAAACCGGAGGAAGGUGGGGAUGACGUCAAGUCCUCAUGGCCCUUAUGGGUAGGGCUUCACACGUAAUACAAUGGCGCGUACAGAGGGUUGCCAAGCCGCGAGGUGGAGCCAAUCCCAGAAAGCGCGUCGUAGUCCGGAUUGCAGUCUGCAACUCGACUGCAUGAAGUCGGAAUCGCUAGUAAUCGCGGAUCAGCAUGUCGCGGUGAAUACGUUCCCGGGUCUU